rnacentral:rRNA from 1 species
GACAGAGGGUGCAAACGUUGUUCGGAAUUACUGGGCGUAAAGCGUGUGUAGGCGGUCCACUAAGUCGGGUGUGAAAGCCCUGGGCUCAACCCAGGAAGUGCACUCGAAACUGGCGGGCUAGAGUAUCGGAGAGGUUGGUGGAAUUCUCGGUGUAGAGGUGAAAUUCGUAGAUAUCGAGAGGAACACCGGUAGCGAAGGCGGCCAACUGGACGAAUACUGACGCUGAGACACGAAAGCGUGGGGAGCAAACAGG